GGAACAUUGGUUUUUCAAAUUAAGUCGACAUCAGAAUAUUACAACUACACAAUAUUAGAUGACAAUCAUGACAUUGAACGGUUGAAGCGUAUAAAGUUGGGCUUCCUUUGGGCAGCCACCGAGAGGAGCAAGAACUUCCGAGUUAUGCAGGCCUCAAGUCUCCCAUCAAGACAAAGGGGCCGAAAUUAGCAGGGCAGAACACCAAACUUGAUGCAGAAGGAAAGAAAUAAGGGCGACAAGUGUGAAAACUCAGAUGUUUAAAGGUAUACUUCAUGCAAAAAUUAUUUAUGUAUCCACGCGCUUUCUUUCUGAUACAUAAGUUGGGAAUCUCUGGCCGCCGAAAUCUUCUGCGCGAGAAGCUGGAUCAGAAGUAGAGGGCGAUGGUUCAACAGUGGUUGGUUCCAAACUUUUAUUUAGGAUGCAGCCCUGAAUACGGGAAAAAAGCCACGGCUCCUCGAUCGGAAAUCAGCCGCUUUAGCCUCAUUUCAUUACCAAAUUCAGAACUGGAUUGGCGGUCAUGUAUAUAGCACUAAUAUUGUCGCACCAAAUAACUGGGGUGUUGGAUAUUUUGGUUCCCAAAUCACACCAAAGAUUGUUGAAUCCAUAGUAGUUCGGCAGCCGUAGUAGCAACUGAUCUAAAUUCAGCUUCAAGGGAUGAGCGUGCAACAGUCAUUUGUUUCUUCAAACUCCAAUAAAAAAGACUUGGGCCUAGACAAACAGCCUUUGUGAGAGUUGGAAAAAGCGUAAGUCGAAAACUCCUUCGGAACACCACUAUGUUUAAGCAAGGUCAGCCCCGUUUCCACUAUAGUCUUGUGCUUUCUUUCAGUUGUUCCAUUUUAUUCAUGGACAUGUGGGCCAGAAAUGUGUUCCUCUAUAAAUAUGUCACUAUAUACCAUACUAUUGAAAAAAAUUAUUGACAGCUGCAUAUUGUCUUCCCCCAUUGGUAUGAAAAUAUUUGAUUUUUGCAUCAAAUAAAUUUUCAAUUUCGUUUCUAAAAAUCUUCAAUGCAUGUUCAACAUCAGAUGUGUAAGCAAGUAAGUAUAUCCAUGUAUACUUUGAGCACUCAUCCAUCAAUGAGACAUAGUAGCGGUAUUUAUCCCUACUAACCACCGGUGACCGCCCCUAAACAUCUCAAUGUAUAACCUCAAAAGGAAAGAAGAUUAGAUACAAUCUUUAUUUUUCUACUAGUAACUAUGAUAUCAUCCACAUAAUUUAAUUCUAGUAAUUAUUGCCUUCUUUAGGAAAAUAAAUAAUAAACUAAAACUUGACUCAUGACUCAUAAAAACCAUGGCUGAGUAAAUAACCUUUGAGUCUGCCAAAACCAUUCUGGAAACACUUGCCUUAGGCCAUAUAAAGCUUGUUAAUUUUACAUAGAUUGUGGUUGUAUCAGAUCAAUAUACAUAAGUGGUCGCAUCAUGUAGACACCAUCUAUGUAAAAAGGCAUUAUUAAUUGUUGAGGUUGGCUUGCACGUGAAGGAAAUGGUUGGUGAAGGAGCCAUGUGUUAGGCCGUGGAAGCUAGGGCUGCACAACGAGUCGAGAUCGAGCUGACUAAACAUGAGUCGAGCCGGCUCGUGUGCAGGCCUAGUGGAAGCUAGAGAAAGUUGGAAACAAUGAAAAGAUUAAGUAGUUAGCCAAGUAUGGAUGGUGGAUUGCUUCAGCUUGCAAUCUUACCUUUAUUGGCAAAGGAUGAAUAUAGAAAUGGACAACGAGGAGGACAUUUGGCAUAGUUGUUUAUCCCCACCGCAUCAUUACUUUUAAAUAUUGGCUAAGAAUUUAUCUAAUGUAAAGCCUUGCCUGUAAAAGGCUCACAAUGCAAGCUUGUACCAUGUGCUUCCAAAAUAGUGAAAGAAAAGAUAGAGAGAGAGAGAGAGAGAGAGAGAGAGAGAGAGAGAGAGAGAGAGAGAGAGAGAGAGAGAGAGAGA